UUUCGUCAGUCGCUGUGCUUUCUGGCGCACGGACGGUUCGUUUCGGUGUGGUCGCUCGCUCACUUCACGCUUGCCGAAUAACUGUAACCGCAAAGCAAGCCAACGAGUGCGAGUGCGAGUAUUUGUUUUAGUCGCGCUCUCACAGCCUCUCGCUGGCGCCAACUGCGCUGUCGCCUGUUCGCAGUCACCGUCGCAGUCGCAGUCGCAGUCGACGCACAACUUGAUUUCUUCCAAUCUUGGCUGGGAAAUCGGAAUCGCAACAAUUGGAAUAGUCGUCGAAUUUGCGUGUUGCGAUAAGCUGGCAGCCAACCAGCCACCCAGCCACCCCCGCACCUGGUCCACACCCUCAGCGUGGCGUGUCAAGUGCACAGCCAGCCACUCGCUGCUGUUGCUGCCGCUGCCGCCGUCGCUGUCGCUGUCAGCAGCCAGAUUCACUCUCAGCGUCAGCCUCAGCUGGCGCCGGCGUCUACCAGCCGCGUUCCAUGGCUUCCAACUCAGCGCCCAGCGACCGGCCGUGAUUAACUUUUACGGGUUUAGUCCGCUCGAUGACGCCGAACAAAACAGUUAUACAACAGCCCAGCAGCUGCUUGCUUGGCGCGCGUGCCGUCUGAUAAAAAGCCAAUAGAAAUCUGUUUCGCAGCCGUUGCCAUUGCCAUUGCCAAAACGCGUGUGUAAAUCUGUAUUCGCAUCCGCAUCCGUUUCCGCUGCCCAUGCCGUCGCGUGUGUCGUACCAAAACCUGUAAACGCUUACCAACACUUAUAAAAGAAAUCAAAAAGUAUAUACAAAUUUGAGAAGAAAAAAAAAACUCAAUCCAUGAACGUUGGCAAGAUGCAAGCGCCUGCAGGCCCGCAUCAGCAUCUGCUGCAUUCGGCUGCCUCUGCCGCCCCGCCCCCUACACAGCAGCAUCACCUGCCCAUCGACUACAGCCUGGGCAACUUCAAGCCCGCCAUUGCCGCUGACUUUCCCGGCGGCUCGUUCGCCGCCAGCCCCUCAGCAUCCGCGUCGCCUCCCACAGCCACCUCGAGUGCUUCGCUGCAGGUGCGCGAUCUCAGCACCUUGACCACAAUGGCCGCCAUUCCCUCGCCCACGCAGCUGCUGCAUCAGCGCAUGCAACCAGCCCAAAUCACAGUGGAUGCACAUCAGCAGCACCACCAUCACCCACACCAACACCAACACCAACAGCAACAACAACAACAACAUCAACAGCAGCAGCAGUUGCCACCGGCGGCGACUUCGCCACACGACUACGCGCCGAUGUCCGCCUUCAAGGCGGUGCUGCCCAAAAAGCGAAACACCGACGAUGCCGCUCACCCCUUUAGCAUAAGCAAUUUGGUCAAGACUGAACGCCUAACGGCAAUCGUAGCCGCCGCCGGGCUGAAGCCGCCGCCGCUGCCGGCGCACAGCGUCGCCCUGACGGAGGACAACAACAAUUCCAUCUCGAUGCUGAGCAAGAAUCAACAGCAACAGCAGCAGCAGUCGCAGCCGCAGCAGCUGAGGCCCAAGCCGCUGCCUUACCUGAGCGCCAGCGAGCAGCUGCGUCAGUCGCGCUCCAGAUCGCGAUCCCGUUCGCGCAGCGCCUCGCACUGCUCCUCACAGAUCGACAUGGACGAUGCGGACAGCAGCCACGAGCGCUACUCGCGGCAUUCGCGUCGCUCGCUGCACUCUCGGUCGCGCUCCCGUUCCCGCUCCCGCUCCCGCUCGCACUCGAGCAGCUCGUCUGUCGAACUGGAAGUGGACUCGCCGCCCGGCAGUCCCAGCAUCAGUUCACCCAGUGCCGCCUCCAUCUCCGCCUCAGAGCUGCUUAUCACGGCCAACAGUAACACCAGCGCCAAGAAAUCGGAUCUCUUCUCCGUCUCUGCGCUGCUGCGUCGCGACGAGCCAUCGACCCGGCGCGCUCGCAGUCCUCCGCUGAGCCUGAUCGGCGCCUCCAACGCGGCGCUGACGCUGCCCACCAACCCACUGGAGGCCAUGCGCCAGAACUACCCGCCCAACUACGAAGCGGCCAUGUUCCAGCGCCCCAUCUUCUCGCCUGCGCUGCCCUUCUUCGCCGCCAUUGCCUUUCACCAGGGACAACAGCAGCAGCAGCAGCAGCAACAGCAAUCUGGACUGGUUGCGGGCUAUCAUCCAGACUCACAGGAAAAUCUCUUCCGGCUGCGCAGCCUAAUGGUGCCACUUCAGUCUGCUGGCCAAAAUGGCUCCACUGCGGCCGCCGCAGCGGCAGCAGCAGCCGCGGCCGUAGGCGUUGGCGUUGGCGUGGGCGUGGGCGUGCCACCCGGCGGCGGUCAUCUGGGUCUGUCGCAUCCGCCGCAUCUGCACUUCCAUCACAUGGCGGCCAAGUGGCCGGGCCUGCACCAAUUCAGCGACCUGUACUCGUGCAUGAAGUGCGAGAAGAUGUUCUCCACGCCGCACGGACUCGAGGUGCACUCGCGCCGCACCCACCACGGGAAGAAGCCCUACGCCUGCGAGCUCUGCAACAAGACCUUCGGCCAUGAGGUCAGCCUCAGCCAGCACAGGGCGGUGCACAAUGUGGAAAAGGUCUUCGAGUGCAAACAGUGCGGCAAACGCUUCAAGCGCUCCAGCACCCUCUCCACCCAUCUGCUCAUCCACAGCGACACGAGGCCUUAUCCCUGCAGCUACUGCGGCAAGCGAUUCCAUCAAAAGAGUGAUAUGAAGAAGCACACCUACAUUCACACCGGCGAGAAACCGCACAAGUGCCAGGUGUGCGGCAAAGCGUUCAGCCAGAGCUCCAACCUGAUCACCCACUCCCGCAAGCACACGGGCUACAAGCCCUUCUCCUGCAAGCUCUGCCACAAGUCCUUCCAGCGCAAGGUGGAUCUGCGCCGGCACAAGGAGACCCAGCACACGGAUCUGCGCGUGCACCUGGGCAAGGUGGACUUCAUGUCGGCCGCCGCAGCGGCUGCAGCUGCAGCCGAGCUAAAUGCAGCGCCCGGACAGAGCAUCGGCAUCGGCCAGGCGCCAGCUCAGCCGACGGGACAGACGGCCGUGAAUGGGACUCCGGUGAACUCGAUGAACUGCCAGAAGGUAUCGUUGCUGGCAUAACAGCAAACAGAGCCGGUGCCGGUGCCAGUGCCAGCACCAGUUCCAGUUCCAGUUCCAACUAGCCGGAAUCAUUGUGCAAUAGCUGGCAUUUCCAUUUGCCGUUAAUGAAAUUUAAGUAGUUCAAGCCGCAAGCAACCGAACAGAAAUUUCCCUUGUUGCCAAACAGAAGAGAAAACAACACAAAAAGAAGAAAAAUAUAACAAAUAGUUGCAUACCAAAUACCAUAAUAAACUAUAUACCAAAGAGCAGUUAAAUCAAAUAACUCAAACUCUAUUUCCCCCUCUCUCUCUCUCUGUAAUUCAUUCUCUCUCUAUCUCACUCCCUCAGCACACAGAAAUCAUA